AUUGAACGCUGGCGGCAGGCCUAACACAUGCAAGUCGAGCGAGCGGCGGACGGGUGAGUAAUGUCUGGGAAACUGCCUGAUGGAGGGGGAUAACUACUGGAAACGGUAGCUAAUACCGCAUACCAUCAGAUGGUCCCAGAUGGGAUUAGCUAGUCGGUGGGGUAACGGCUAACCUAGGCGACGAUCCCUUGCUGGUCUGAGAGGCUGACCGGCAACACUGGAACUGAGAAACGGUCCAGACUCUAACGGGAGGCAGCAGUGGGGAAUAUUGCAAAAUGGGCGCAAGCCUGAUGCAGCCAUGCCGCGUGUGUGAAGAAGUCCUUCGGGUUGUAAAGCACUUUCAGCGGGGAGGCGUUACCCGCAGAAGAAGCACCGGCUAACUCCGUGCCAGCAGCCGCGGUAAUAC
rnacentral:rRNA from 1 species